AUUGGUUUUUGCAAAUAAUAGUCAAGCUAAUUCUUCCACUAAACAUGAAUUAGAAAGAGGCUUGGACGGCUGGCGGGCCUGUCCCAACAUCAAAACAGGAGGCUCAUGGUUGACUGUAAAAAUGUUUUGUGAUCAGUACUAUCAACCAAAAAAAUAUCAGCACAAGAGCACUUAAAAUCUGCCCAAAACAAAACAGGUGUAAAAACAGGACAGGUUUUUUUUUUGAUUAUUUAGCACAUUUUGUUACAAACACAGGAUUAUGAUAAUAUAAAGUCAGCAUCAUAUUGAACAAUAUUCCCAAUGAAAAUAAACAAACCUCAAGCUUCAAGUGCGACCUUUUACAAAUCAGAGACCCUCUGAAACUUGAGGGAGAAAAUAAAUAAUAUAUAAUAGUAAUAUAAAUUUAUAUAUAUGAAGGUAUACACACAUCACUCUUAGUAGAAGAACAAAAUCUAAAGUAAAAAGCGCCAAUUUUGAAAUAUAGUAUAAUAUAGAUAUACCCAUAUCUAUGGCUUCAUGAUUUGCACGUGUGAAUCAAGCUAUACAGGCUAAAUGAGGAUUGCAAUUUGUACAUGUCUAAGAAUACCCAUAUUCAUCUGCAAUAGAGCAAAAAAUUCCAGUUUUGCAUCGUGUGGAAUGAGACAGUUGUGUGCAGAUGCCGAAGAUGCCGCUUUGGUAUGACAAAAUGAACAUAGGCAUGCAGUUAAGACCACAGAAUCAGGGCACAAAAGGUCAUCAACACACAGUGGGAAGGAGAAUCUGGUCGCCCAUCAUGAUUUGUCUCUUUGAAGUUUUCAAAAUCCUCGAACGUUUCGGCCCUCUAAUCUGAUCGGUCGCAUCUCGAUAAUCUCUAUCCAUUGAGUUACAAAUAUUCAGUCGUCUCUUGGAAACAAACACUCUUGCAAGCACACAGGUGAAAUGUCAUUGAGGCACAUAUUGAGGGGUUGAUGGCAGACGUUUUCCUGAAGUACAACCCAGAAUGAGGAAGAAGACGUACAGUACAGAUCGUGAGAAGAGCGCGGGGGCCGGGGGAGUCACACAUACAUCCAGAUGCCUCUCAGGGGCCAAAACAGCACCACAGGACAGAGAUUUGCCACCGAUUAUGGGCUCCUUCCACACCCACCAUUGACAUUCAUAAACAUAUUCUACCCCAUUGUCUUUCUUCUUUUUUUUUCACCCCAGAAAAGUACAACUGUUUGAUAAGUGGGUCAAACAAAAGCACAAUAAAUAAUGCAAAUAAAAUAAAGAUAUCUGUCAGACAUAAAGAAAGCAUCACAAAUCUCACUGUACUGAGAGUCUCUCAGCAGGGGCUGAUGGGAAGUGCAGUCCAUGGCACCUACAGAAGAGGCCAAAUGUGUGCGACCAGCACUGGCAACAAAAUGUUUCCCAGAGUUACUACUGCAGCACUCUUUCCCUUUAUGUAAAUGAACUGGGGUCAAGCCAGGAAAGC
ensembl:lncRNA